UACGGGGGGAGCAAGCGUUGUUCGGAUUUACUGGGCGUAAAGGGCGCGUAGGCGGUCAGCACAAGUCAGUUGUGAAAUCUCCGGGCUUAACUCGGAAAGGUCAACUGAUACUGUGCGACUAGAGUGCGGAAGGGGCAACUGGAAUUCUCGGUGUAGCGGUGAAAUUCGUAGAUAUCGAGAGGAACACCGGUGGCGAAGGCGGCCAACUGGACAGAUACUGACGCUGAGACACGAAAGCGUGGGGAGCAAACAGG
rnacentral:rRNA from 1 species